CAGGUAUCCAUUAAAUAUUCUAUAAUAGUGGCUGCACCUGUCCCUAUUAUCCUAGGACUUCUUUUUAAUAAUAUAACUUUAAUAUUGUAGGGGACUACUUGUAUAUGUGCCAUGUGUGUGAUAAACAAUAUUCAACCAAAGGAAAGUUGAAUUUUCAUUUGAAGACUCAUCAAGAAGCACAAUAUGAAUGUCCUUUAUGUGGUAAACGAUUUUCUACCCUCCAAUAUUUAAAUAACCACAAGAAAGUACAUCCAGAUCAAGUAAGUAAAAUGAUUUAAUAGUAAUGUUAUACUAGUUAAAUUAAAAAUGUAAUCAGAAGUGUUUAGAAUUCGUUAGGAUUUAUCUGUGAUGUGUGUCAAUUGACUUUCAAUAAAAGAAGAUCUUUUCUUGCUCAUAGAAAACAAGAACAUCCAUAUAAUAUUUUUAAAUGUUCUUCAUUAGAUUGUGAUAAGGAAUUUUCAACAAUUCAGUUAUUAAACAGGCAUAUUAAACGGUUACAUGAAACAAAUGAAAAGUGAGUACAAUAAUUUCUAUAUAUUAUUGUCUGUAAUUGUACAAUAUUUUAAUUGAUACACUUAAUAAUCUAGCAAGCCUGUAAUAUGUACAGAGUGUGGAAAAUCAUUCAAU
rnacentral:lncRNA from 1 species